rnacentral:rRNA from 1 species
AGUGAACGCUGGCGGUAGGCCUAACACAUGCCAGUCGAACGGCAGCACAGUAAGAGCUUGCUCUUACGGGUGGCGAGUGGCGGACGAGUGAGGAAUACAUCGGAAUCUACUUUUUCGUGGGGGAUAACGUAGGGAAACUUACGCUAAUACCGCAUACGACCUACGGGUGAAAGCAGGGGAUUUUCGGACCUUGCGCGAUUGAAUGAGCCGAUGUCGGAUUAGCUAGUUGGCGGGGUAAAGGCCCACCAAGGCGACGAUCCGUAGCUGGUCUGAGAGGAUGAUCAGCCACAUGGGAACUGAGACACGGCACAGACUCUUACGGGAGGCAGCAGUGGGGAAUAUUGGACAAUGGGCGCAAGCCUGAUCCAGCCAUACCGCGUGGGUGAAGAAGGACUUCGGGUUGUAAAGCCCUUUUGUUGGGAAAGAAAAGCAGCAGGUUAAUACCCCGCUGUUCUGACGGUACCCAAAGAAGAAGCUCCGGCUAACUUCGUG